rnacentral:rRNA from 1 species
UACGUAGGUGGCAAGCGUUGUCCGGAAUUAUUGGGCGUAAAGCGCGCGCAGGCGGUCCUUUAAGUCUGAUGUGAAAGCCCUCGGCUCAACCGAGGAGGGUCAUUGGAAACUGGAGGACUUGAGUGCAGAAGAGGAAAGUGGAAUUCCAAGUGUAGCGGUGAAAUGCGUAGAGAUGCGGAGGAACACCGAUGGCGAAGGCAGCCCCCUGGGCUAACACUGACGCUGAGGCACGAAAGCGUGGGGAGCAAACAGG